ACUCUGGGAUAAGCCUGGGAAACUGGGUCUAAUACCGGAUAUGACCGUCUGACGCAUGUCAGGUGGUGGAAAGCUUUUGUGGUUUUGGAUGGACUCGCGGCCUAUCAGCUUGUUGGUGGGGUAAUGGCCUACCAAGGCGACGACGGGUAGCCGGCCUGAGAGGGUGACCGGCCACACUGGGACUGAGACACGGCCCAGACUCCUACGGGAGGCAGCAGUGGGGAAUAUUGCACAAUGGGCGCAAGCCUGAUGCAGCGACGCCGCGUGAGGGAUGACGGCCUUCGGGUUGUAAACCUCUUUCAGUAGGGAAGAAGCGAAAGUGACGGUACCUGCAGAAGAAGCGCCGGCUAACUACGUGCCAGCAGCCGCGGUAAUACGUAGGGCGCAAGCGUUAUCCGGAAUUAUUGGGCGUAAAGAGCUCGUAGGCGGUUUGUCGCGUCUGCUGUGAAAGACCGGGGCUCAACUCCGGUUCUGCAGUGGGUACGGGCAGACUAGAGUGCAGUAGGGGAGACUGGAAUUCCUGGUGUAGCGGUGAAAUGCGCAGAUAUCAGGAGGAACACCGAUGGCGAAGGCAGGUCUCUGGGCUGUAACUGACGCUGAGGAGCGAAAGCAUGGGGAGCGAACAGGAUUAGAUACCCUGGUAGUCCAUGCCGUAAACGUUGGGCACUAGGUGUGGGGGACAUUCCACGUUUUCCGCGCCGUAGCUAACGCAUUAAGUGCCCCGCCUGGGGAGUACGGCCGCAAGGCUAAAACUCAAAGGAAUUGACGGGGGCCCGCACAAGCGGCGGAGCAUGCGGAUUAAUUCGAUGCAACGCGAAGAACCUUACCAAGGCUUGACAUGAACCGGUAAUACCUGGAAACAGGUGCCCCGCUUGCGGUCGGUUUACAGGUGGUGCAUGGUUGUCGUCAGCUCGUGUCGUGAGAUGUUGGGUUAAGUCCCGCAACGAGCGCAACCCUCGUUCUAUGUUGCCAGCGCGUUAUGGCGGGGACUCAUAGGAGACUGCCGGGGUCAACUCGGAGGAAGGUGGGGACGACGUCAAAUCAUCAUGCCCCUUAUGUCUUGGGCUUCACGCAUGCUACAAUGGCCGGUACAAAGGGUUGCGAUACUGUGAGGUGGAGCUAAUCCCAAAAAGCCGGUCUCAGUUCGGAUUGGGGUCUGCAACUCGACCCCAUGAAGUCGGAGUCGCUAGUAAUCGCAGAUCAGCAACGCUGCGGUGAAUACGUUCCCGGGCCUUGUACACACCGCCCGUCAAGUCACG
rnacentral:rRNA from 1 species